rnacentral:lncRNA from 1 species
UUAUUUAAAGGAGAAGAGAGAAACCGAUCCGUACAGAAAUCUAUUGGCUCGACUUACUUACCAGGCUACGCAUGGCCCUACAAAUGAAGUCCCGACUUUUCAAAUCUGAGCAUUGAUUCUUUGUAAUCUCUGAGAAGAUCUGCAAGAGCUUCAGGAAAUAAAGGUAGCAUCAGUUCAUGGAAAAAAAGUAGUUGAUACUUUAGACAAACAGUUCAAGAUUGUUGAUUCUUGAUUAGAUAGUAGAAUUUGUUUGAAGAAAAGAACAAGAAAAACGUAGAUAGAUCACACGUUUGUUAAUACUGCACAUAGGGUCUUGUAAUAGACAUUCAUAGCCGUUCAAGACGGAAGAAUAGUGUCUGUUCUCUGUAGAUUAAUUACAACACUAUUUUUUCAGUGAAAUGGAGUAAAAGUACUAUUGUAUUUGGUACAUGUGGUGAUCAGCUUGGGGACGAGUCUUCCCUGGUCACGACGGUAUGUAUUUUGCAAAUAUUAAUAUUUUAUUGAUAUAUUUACAAUUAAUGGCAUGGACCCAUCAGAUUUUCAAGUGUGUCGACGGAAGAAGGUGGACUAAUUUUGCAAUUUGCUAAGUAGCCGUUUCGUACGGUUCACGUGAGCUGCCUGAUUGGGGGAGCAUGUGGGCUCACAGAGUCACUGUCUGUCGGACCAACAGACCAAAUUAGUGUCAAAGAAUAAAAAUAUCUAGGUGAUGGGGUUCUUAACUAAUGAAAUAAAGCUUUGGGGUGAAGAUGUCCGUAAUGAACUUAAAAUUCGGAUUGCUUGAUAACAAAAUGAUUUUAAGCUAAUAUAGUACUGCCAAAUCAUCUAUAAAUUUGUCGUUGUUGGUGAUAAGUUUUUUCAUCGAUCAAGAGCUUCUUGUCAUAAAAAUGAUAGAAACAUAUCCAAGCCUGCUCAUCUAAGAAGAUCGUGACACUCCACCGAUCAAUACUGGAAUCUAUGUAAAUUAGAUUCGCGUCCUUGUUUUUUACAAAAUCAACUUAUUAAUUCGAAGUGUAUAGAAAUUAGGUCUGAGUGAGAGUGAGAGUGAGAGAGAGAGAGGAAAAAAGCAAAAAUAAACAAAUAAAUAAAUUACGUUUCACUUACAACUCAAGAUAUUCCACUAUUUGAAAAUGUGUUUUGUCUAGAAUAUAAAUUGUACACUUUAUAUGAUAUUGCAUGCCAGAUUUGAAAGCUCAGCAUUAUGGCACGUUUGAAAGUAUCACAAUAGUUUAUCUUUUAUUGAGGUCAUCGACGUGUUCUUUGGUCAAACCUCAUUGUCAUGGACAAAUGAGAAUUAUUACAGAAAAUUAUUUUAAAAGGUCACAUAUUGUUUAUUUAAUAAUAAUAGGGAUCUCAAAAAUUAAAUUAUUAUUAAUAAAAACAAUGAUAACAAUCAUAUUAACAACAACAACAACAACAAUAAUAAUAAUAAUAAAUAUUAUUAUUAUUAUUAAAAACAAUGACAGAAUAAUAAUAAUAACAAUGAUAAAAUAAUAAAACAAUAUAUUAAUAAAAGAUAAAAGUAGAAUUAUGAAAUUUAGUUAGAGUAAAAUGGUGGGUUUAAAGAAUGAAAACUUAAUUUUCAUGGGAGAUAGGAAUUAAAUUUUUGUUCCUUAAUCCUUAAAGUGCAUGAGCCCCAUAUAUUUCAUUCUCAUUUCUUUAUUGUUUUAAUAAGUAAAUAUCAUUAAUUAUUUUUAUUCUAAAUUCAAAUUCUUCAAUCCCCCAAGUAAACACUAUUAACGGUGCGAUGCUAUAUUAAUUAAAAAAGCUUGGGAGAGGACCAAUGAAGGGAAAGAAAAAAAAAACUUUUCUAAUAUUUUAUAAACUACUAUCGAACUUCAUUUUUUUCAAACUAUUAUAACCAUACCAAUAGGGUGACUUGAACUAUUUACCUUAAAAUUAAGAGGAGAAGAUGGGGAGAAGAUGACGCCCACUUCAAUUAAUUCAAUUGCAAUUAAAUAAUUAAAAAAUUGAAUAGAGAAUUUAAAAUUAAAAGAGAAGAAGAAUAACACUAACCUCCCUAGUGUUUUUCACUUUGACUACUUAAUUAAAUCUUUGAUUUUCUUCGUUACAAAAAAUCUUUAUUUUUUUAAUUAGUUAUUACAUCUUUUACGUUAAAAUAAUAUAAAAUACACUUUUUUUUUGCAUUAUAACCUUCCUAUUAAAUUUUAAUAUGGUUUGUUUGUCAAAAGGUAAAUUAAUAUGGUGGUACACUGUAGACUCUACGCAACAUUAGUUCGUCGCCAUUUAUUAACUUAUAUUUUAAUUUAUUUUUUUUAAAAAAAAGACAAUUUACAAACUUGGUAGCUGACAGCUGACUCCACAUUCUUUAAUUGGUAAGAAACAAGAAGUUAUAUUAUAUUCACAGCUGAUCAGCUAUCCAAAUCUUAUAUUUCUAAGUAAUGUUAAUAAAUAUUAUAAAAUUAUGUUGAACACUUUAAUUUUAAUAAAAAAAAUUUAUUAUAUCAUCAUCUAUUACACGAAGGGUCCGACUUUGGCGGUAUUGCUCCACUAUAAUGUACUUCUAUAACCAUAUGAUCAUAACAAUAAUUUAUUUUUUACUAUUUAUCAUUUUGAUCGUGUGGUUAUGAGACAAUACUCUACAAGGGAGCAACACCAUAGCCAUUGUGUUAAAUGAAUUACUAUUAAUUGUAAGAUAGAUUAAAUGUAUCUUACAAUUAAGUUUUUUAGUACAAAAAUGAAAAACGAAAUAGUGGAAUCAAAAGGCCCAGUGAAUGAAUUUUACCUAGUUAUAAGUUACAUUAAAUGUAAUUUAGAGAGACCCUCAAGGCAAUAUAUUAUAAGUAUUAUUAUAUGAUUUCUUUGAAUACUAAUAUAAUACUCAUUUUUAAUGGAUAUUUCUCAUGUUAUUAAACGCUAGAAUUUUUAUUUCCAACAUCUUAUACUUAGAUGGACAAUGAGGAAUUCAUUAGUUUGAAAAAAUUUUGACUACAAAUUCUGUGCAAUACUUUUUAUUGUAAAAUAGCCUUUUCUUUUAACUUCUUCUUCUCCUAAUCUCCUUCUUUUUUAAAAAAAAGUAUUUAUAGAAUUAUUAUUUUGUUUUGAGCACAAAAUUCAAUAUUGAAGAUAAAUAAAUAAAAUUAAUAAUUAAAUUGAAUAAAAUAAUUUUUGUACAACUUGACUUAAUUAUAUUGUUGUAAAUAUGCAUUAAAUCUCUUAAAAUUAUGUGUCUUAAACAUUUUUUGGUGUUUUAAACAAAUACAGUUAAUUAAUUUUUAAAAAAUUUAAAAAGUUUGAAUUUUUAAAAUUAAUAUUUAAAAUACACAUAAUAAUAAAAUUUUCAAAAUAAUUUUUAAAACGAAAUGACACCAAGAGAAAAAUACACUCGUUUUCUCACUUUCUCCUCCUUGUUCUGUUGUUCAUUUAUAUUAUUUUAAUCAUAUAUUCCGUUCAUUCACAAUAAAUUGACUUUUAAAUUAUAUUAGAUCAAAUCUGUUUACUAAAGAUGGAAAAACAUUCCAAGAACCUUACAUAACAUCACAAGUCACAAAAGCGCCACAAAACAAACAGAGGGAGAGAGAAAUUCUUACUUCGGUUCUAGAUGGCGACGGUCGGAGCUUGCAUCUUUUCGGCCGUUUCCUCGCCGGUUUUUCGUCGACAAAUUACGUCGUCGUCCGAGAAGCCGAAACGGAAUCCUAUAUUGAAGCGAGUAGCGGUGUCAACGGAGCGGACGUCAGCUGCAACGACGACAGUGAUGACGGAAACGACGCCGACGAGGAUAUUUGUGGAGAAGAAGAGUAGCGAGUUAGUAGAAGAUGAAGCUGAGACGAAACAGAGAGUUAACGUGAGAGAAUAUUCGGAGGAGGAGAGUGAAGGUAACGGAAAGAGCUUGAAAGAUUACUUUGAUGAAGCCGAAGAUAUGAUCAAAUCGUCAUCAGGCGGCGGUCCGCCCCGCUGGUUCUCGCCGUUAGAAUGCGGGUCCCACACUCGCGAUUCUCCUCUCCUCCUCUUUUUGCCUGGUGCGUUUCUCUUUAG